rnacentral:rRNA from 1 species
GACGAACGCUGGCGGCGUGCCUAAUACAUGCAAGUAGAACGCAGUUGCGAACGGGUGAGUAACGCGUCGGUAACUGCCUGGUAGCGGGGGUUAACUAUUGGAAACGAUAGCUAAUACCGCAUACUACCAGAUGGACCUGCGUUGUAUGAGCUAGUUGGUGAGGUAACGGCUCACCAAGGCAACGAAACAUAGCCGACCUGGGAGGGUGAUCGGCCACACGGGGACUGAGACACGGCCCAGACGCCUACGGGAGGCAGCAGUAGGGAAUCUUCGGCAAUGGGGGGAACCCUGACCGAGCAACGCCGCGUGAGUGAAGAAGGGCUUCGGAUCGUAAAGCUCUGUUGUUAAGGAAGCGGUACCGAACCAGAAAGGGACGGCUAACUACGUGCCAGCAGCCGCGGUAAUUC